GUGGGGAAUAUUGCACAAUGGGGGAAACCCUGAUGCAGCAACGCCGCGUGAGUGAUGAAGGCCUUCGGGUUGUAAAGCUCUGUCUUUGGGGACGAUAAUGACGGUACCCAAGGAGGAAGCCACGGCUAACUACGUGUCAGCAGCCGCGGUAAUACGUAGGUGGCAAGCGUUGUCCGGAUUUACUGGGCGUAAAGGGAGCGUAGGCGGACUUUUAAGUGAGAUGUGAAAUACCCGGGCUUAACCUGGGUGCUGCAUUCCAAACUGGAAGUCUAGAGUGCAGGAGAGGAGAAUGGAAUUCCUAGUGUAGCGGUGAAAUGCGUAGAGAUUAGGAAGAACACCCGUGGCGAAGGCGAUUCUCUGGACUGUAACUGACGCUGAGGCUCGAAAGCGUGGGGAGCAAACAGGAUUAGAAACCCCAGUAGUCC
rnacentral:rRNA from 1 species